ACGCGAUAGCCUAGUGGUUAAGGUUACGGACUUAUGGUCAGUGUGUCAUAAGUUCGAGCCUUGUGGCGCAGUG